rnacentral:rRNA from 1 species
UUUAAGCUUCCUACGGGAGGCUGCAGUGGGGAAUAUUGGACCAUGUUUCGCAAGCCUGAUCCAGCCAUGCCGCGUGUGUGAAGAAGGCCUUAUGGUUGUAAAGCACUUUAAGCGAGGAGGAGGCUACUUUAGUUAAUACCUAGAGAUAGUGGACGUUACUCGCAGAAUAAGCACCGGCUAACUCUGUGCCAGCAGCCGCGGUAAUACAGAGGGUGCAAGCGUUAAUCGGAUUUACUGGGCGUAAAGCGCGCGUAGGCGGCUAAUUAAGUCAAAUGUGAAAUCCCCGAGCUUAACUUGGGAAUUGCAUUCGAUACUGGUUAGCUAGAGUGUGGGAGAGGAUGGUAGAAUUCCAGGUGUAGCGGUGAAAUGCGUAGAGAUCUGGAGGAAUACCGAUGGCGAAGGCAGCCAUCUGGCCUAACACUGACGCUGAGGUGCGAAAGCAUGGGGAGCAAACAGGAUUAGAUACCCUUGUAGUCGA